rnacentral:pre_miRNA from 1 species
UUAACUCAUGUUUGAAUUGUGUUGAAACGGUUGCCUACGUUUGCCGCUAGGGGCGCUGUUCCAACUCCAUACAAAUUUGAGUUA